UACGUAGGUGGCAAGCGUUGUCCGGAUUUACUGGGCGUAAAGAGCGCGCAGGCGGUCGUUCAAGUCGCGUGUGAAAGCCCCCGGCUCAACUGGGGAGGGUCACGCGAUACUGAUCGACUCGAAGGCAGGAGAGGGUAGUGGAAUUCCCGGUGUAGUGGUGAAAUGCGUAGAGAUCGGGAGGAACACCGGCGGCGAAGGCGGCUGCCUGGACCAGUCCUGACGCUGAGGCGCGAAAGCUAGGGGAGCAAACAGG
rnacentral:rRNA from 1 species